rnacentral:rRNA from 1 species
UGGGGAAUCUUGCGCAAUGGGCGAAAGCCUGACGCAGCAACGCCGCGUGCGGGAAGAAGGCCCUCGGGUUGUAAACCGCUUUCAGCAGGAACGAAAAUGACGGUACUUGCAGAAGAAGGUGCGGCCAACUACGUGCCAGCAGCCGCGGUGACACGUAGGCACCAAGCGUUGUCCGGAUUUAUUGGGCGUAAAGAGCUCGUAGGUGGUUCGGUAAGUCGGGUGUGAAAACUUUGGGCUUAACCCAAAGCCUGCAUCCGAUACUGCUGUGACUAGAGUUCGGUAGGGGAGCGGGGAAUUCCUAGUGUAGCGGUGAAAUGCGCAGAUAUUAGGAGGAACACCGGUGGCGAAGGCGCCGCUCUGGGCCGAUACUGACACUGAGGAGCGAAAGCGUGGGGAGCGAA